rnacentral:rRNA from 1 species
GACGAACGCUGGCGGCGUGCCUAAUACAUGCAAGUUGAGCGCUGAAGGUUGGUACUUGUACCAACUGGAUGAGCAGCGAACGGGUGAGUAACGCGUGGGGAAUCUGCCUUUGAGCGGGGGACAACAUUUGGAAACGAAUGCUAAUACCGCAUAAAAACUUUAAACACAAGUUUUAAGUUUGAAAGAUGCAAUUGCAUCACUCAAAGAUGAUCCCGCGUUGUAUUAGCUAGUUGGUGAGGUAAAGGCUCACCAAGGCGAUGAUACAUAGCCGACCUGAGAGGGUGAUCGGCCACAUUGGGACGGAGACACGGCCCAAACGCCUACGGGAGGCAGCAGCAGGGAAUCUUCGGCAAUGGACGAAAGUCUGACCGAGCAACGCCGCGUGAGGGAAGAAGGUUGUCGGAUCGUAAAACUCUGUUGGUAGAGAAGAACGUUGGUGAGAGUGGAAAGCUCAUCAAGUGACGGUAACUACCCAGAAAGGGACGGCUAACUACGUG